UACGUAUGGUGCAAGCGUUAUCCGGAUUUACUGGGUGUAAAGGGAGCGUAGACGGCUCAGUAAGUCUGAAGUGAAAGCCCGGGGCUCAACCCCGGGACUGCUUUGGAAACUAUUGGGCUAGAGUGCCGGAGAGGUAAGCGGAAUUCCUAGUGUAGCGGUGAAAUGCGUAGAUAUUAGGAGGAACACCAGUGGCGAAGGCGGCUUACUGGACGGUAACUGACGUUGAGGCUCGAAAGCGUGGGGAGCAAACAGG
rnacentral:ncRNA from 2 species